rnacentral:rRNA from 1 species
UAUGUCGGGUAGUGAAAGCGUUCGGCUCAACCGGAAUAAACAUUACUGAAACUGCUAAGCUAGAAGGUGAGAGAGGUCACUGGAAUUCCCUGUGUAGGAGUGAAAUCCGUAGAUAUAGGGAGGAACACCGAUGGCGUAGGCAGGUGACUGGCUCAUUCUUGACACUAAGGCACGAAAGCGUGGGGAGCAAACGGGAUUAGAUACCCCGGUAGUCCACGCCGUAAACUAUGGAUGCUA